UUAUUUUCUUUCUCCACUUUCUUUCCAUCACCUACACUCUCUCAAAAUAUAUACGUAUAUAUAUUUUAUUUACCUUAUAAUAAUAAUAAAACCCUGCCCUGUUAUAAGUAUUGUAACUCCCGAUCACCGCUACCCUUUCCGAUUGAUCUGAGUCCCAUAACGCAUGUCAGGGCUCUGCCCGACUAAGUUCGUUAGGAUUCUGUCUCGGGACAUCGGGACAAGGUUGAUUUAGGGGUACUAUACUUACCAUGAGUGCAUUAUAUAUUUUUAAUAGUUCAGAAGUUAUGCCCAAAAUUUAUACCAGGAGUCUUUCUAGUUGAACCCUAAAGUUACACAGUGGGUCCAUUCCUUUUUCUCACCAUUUUAUUCUCUUUUUGUGAUUCACCCAAAACUAUUAUUUUUGUAAACAAAUCUCGUCAAAAGUUAUAUCUAUUAUUUUAUUUACAUGAUAGGAAACCCUAGUUAAGACACCCAAGUAAUUCUACACAAUCCCUAAAAUUUUCAGAAUAAACAGAAUCAGGAUCAGGGCCCCUAAAACUCGAGGGGGGUAAACCCUAGUUGGACGAUUAUCUAAAAUAAUCGUUGUAGAAAGCUGAUUGGUUAAUUUUAUUGAUUCAGCAUAGCUAGUCCCAACCAUGGCCGACCUAUGAUAAAUAGGUGUCCCUUACGGACCGUAAGGGAUAUGGCUUACGGUCCGUAAGCCUGUCCCAAAAAUUAGUAUAAAUAGCAGACAUUGGCAGUCGGUUUAUGCUGCUUAAACGACGUUCAAAGUCGUAAUACACAUGGAGUGAUACUCUUAAAACACACACGAAUCACUAAUUAGUAUAGCGGGGUGCUGCUACGAUACAGGGUAUUAACUCGAUCGCUAUUACGAUUCAUUUUCCGACCGAUCAAUAUAUCCAAUGGAUGUUUAAGUGCCACCCACAUUAGGGUUAUAUUUUGUCGUUCGUCGUUAAAUCGAUGGAUGUUUAAGUAUCGCACUUUGUCGUUCGUUGUUACAAGGCUAAAUCAAUAGGCUAAGCUCUGCCUGUGUAAAUCUGCAAUAUAUCAAGGCUUAUGUGUAGACUAAACUUUGGCCGUAUGAAUCUGCAUGAUUAUAAUGUGAGUCAUUCUCUCUUUUUAUCAACUGUUUUACAAUACUCCAAAUUAUUUUCAGAAUUAUAAUUACAGUGAUUAAGUUGAUGUAAUCACCAAAUUACAGCCAGUAUGUGGGGUAUUGUGCACAUUACUACAGUUUAAAUCAUUUUAGGGUGGCGAACCUAAUUUUAAUUGAUUUACGUCAUUCAUUGGGGCAGCCAAUGGUGAUAUGACCACUGUCACAGAUCCGGUCGAGUGACAAAUACUGUGGGUAGUUGGUUGAU
rnacentral:lncRNA from 1 species